AUAUUCUCAAGCUAAUAAACUUAUUAGGCUUGGAUUGAUGAGAGCGUGCUGGCUAAUAUUUUCGUCAGCUCUCUUUAAAUUUAUUAGCAUUGUUGCUAAAAGAUCAUCGGUAUAAUAAACUUGUACCAUUGAGAUUUCUAGCUAAUUGCUUAUAAUAUAAUUCCUUUAUUGGAAUGAUUAUACUA
rnacentral:misc_RNA from 1 species